UUCCAUCAUUAGUGUAUUUAAUAGACUAAAUUACACAUUCUGUUAACAUCGGACUCCAGAGUGAUCCGUUCCUGCAAUUUUAGUCGAUGACAUUUCAGAUUUGGAUAUGAUAAUUUAUCAUGAAGUAAUUUGGAUGUACUGAUGUACCCAAGUGGCUUUAGUUAGGUAAACUCUAUUUUUUAUUAAAAAGGGUAGAAUUAAUGUGGCUUUACUUCUUCCAGUGUGAAGCAAUUAGUAGCUUGGUCAACUUAAUUUUUUAAGUUAAAAGCAGAUUCCCCAACGAUUCGCCAAACUCAGUCCUGGGUACCUCAAAGGGUGCACAUUUUGUUGUUUGUCCCUAGGGCUACACAGCUGAUUCAAAUAAUCAACUCGUCAAGCUUUGAUCAUUUGAAUCAGCUGUAUAGUGCUAGGGCAACCUGUCCUUACACACCUAAUUCCACUAAUCAAAAGGGCUUGAUGAGUAGAUUUAGUGUGUUAAUGCAUUAACUGAAACCUUCUCUCCAGGAUAUCACACGUUUCCCAUCUGAAAUUACUUCCUAUAGAAGAAGGAUAAAAAAAAGUAUUAUUAAAUGUAUUAGUUACAUUAUUACAUGUAUUAGUUACAUUAUUACAUGUAUUAGUUACAUUAAAUGUAUCAGUUACAUGAAUUUUCAUGUCAUCUGACCAUAGCAUCAGUUCCAAUCCAAGUGCCAAAGGUCACGCCAUAGUUAGCAUCUACGUAACACACAUGUGAUUCAGAGUCGCUUGAUGCUAUAUAUAUAUAUAUAUAUAUAUAUAUAUAUAUUACACACACACAAUGAGAAAUGGCUUUUUAGAGUUUAUCGAGUUCACUUCAUAAUGUUUCUAACUAGAUUCCAUCAGAAAUGAAGAUGGUUUAAACAAGCGUGACUGUUGCAACUUUUCUCCUUUUUUCUACAGCAAAUGACAUCUGCAGUAAGAGCAUUAGGGACUGUAGGGGUUAGAGUGUAGAGGGGGCAGGUAGCCUAGUGGUUAGAGUGUAGGGGCGGCAGGUAGCCUAGUGGUUAGAGUGUAGGGGCGGCAGGUAGCCUAGUGGUUAGAGUGUAGGGGGGGCAGGUAGUCUAGUGGUUAGAGUGUAGAGGGGGCAGGUAGCCUAGUGGUUAGAGUGUAGGGGCGGCAGGUAGCCUAGUGGUUAGAGUGUAGGGGCGGCAGGUAGCCUAGUGGUUAGAGUGUAGGGGCGGCAGGUAGCCUAGUGGUUAGAGUGUAGGGGCGGCAGGUAGCCUAGUGGUUAGAG
ensembl:lncRNA